CUGCUCACUGUAGCACCCGUAUAUAAAUGAUACACAGAUGAUUAGUGUGGCUCCUGUGCAAGGGUGACACACAAGUUAGUGACACUGUCCAUAUUUUU
ensembl:snRNA U6 U6 spliceosomal RNA